GCCUCGGUGGCUAAGGUGGCAUAGCGCUUCCUUGGUAAGGAAGAGGUCGGGGGUUCGAAUCCCCCCCGAGGCU
rnacentral:tRNA from 1 species